UACGUAGGGGGCAAGCGUUGUCCGGAAUCAUUGGGCGUAAAGAGCUCGUAGGCGGUUUGUUGCGUCGGCCGUGAAGACCUGCAGCUUAACUGUGGGCCUGCGGCCGAUACGGGCAGACUUGAGUUCGGUAGGGGAGACUGGAAUUCCCGGUGUAGCAGUGAAAUGCGUAGAUAUCGGGAGGAAUACCGAUGGCGAAGGCAGGUCUCUGGGCUAUAACUGACGCUCAUGCACGAAAGCGUGGGGAGCAAACAGG
rnacentral:rRNA from 1 species